rnacentral:tRNA from 1 species
GCCUUCGUGGUAUAGUGGUCAGCACACUCGGUUCGUAUUCGAGAGGCCUGUGGUUCGAGCCCCGGCGAGCGCA